CAGACUGAUUUCCGAUUCUACUGGAUGAAUUCAAAGUUACCAGAAGAAGAAGGACUUGGAGAGAAAACCAAGAUUAAUCCCUUUAAGUUUGUGGGGCUUAAGAAUUUCCCGUGUACCCCUGAGAGCCUGUGCAAGGUGCUGUCUAUGGAUUUUCCUUUUGAGUUAACAGACAAUUAAGAAAACAUUUGGAGGUCUGGAGAGUUAAAGAGUACUAGCUGCUCUUCCAGAGGUCCUGAGUUCAGUUCCCAGCAAACCACACAGUGACUCACAACUGAUGAUGUGAUCUGAUCUGAUGCCCUUUUCUGGUAUGCAGGUGUAUAUGUAGAUAGAGCACUCAUACAUAAAUAAAUAAAAAUCUUAAAAG
rnacentral:lncRNA from 1 species